CGCGACUGCUGUUAUUUGAUCCUCUGACAGAAACACCCGCCACUCGCCGCUGCUCACAGUUCAUGUUCUCGUUCUUUAUUCUGCUGGCUCCGCCCACCUCUCACCAUCUAUGAUGGACCCAGGAUCCUCUGGUUCUGACCUCUGACCUCCCCCUCACCUCCUCUCCAGCUCCAGAGUUGGGAUCAACCGUUGUGUUUUCAGGGAUAAUAUCAGUCCUGGUUAUUGAUCAGUGAGAGGAUGGAGGAAAUGGAGGCGGAGUUACAGCUGCCAGGACCUGACUUGAAGGACCCGUCCUACCAAGGAAGCAUCCUUGAAUUUGAGAAGCUGCUAGUUCAUGUUGGGGUUUCUAUGCCGCUGUGUUGUUUUUG